rnacentral:tRNA from 1 species
UAAUUAUUCUCGUGGGAUAAUGUGUUUUGAAAACACAUAAAAAAUGUUCAAUUCAUUUAAUAAUU